rnacentral:lncRNA from 1 species
UAGUACUGACUGUAGGUAGCCGGGUCAUGACUCUCGACUACCCCAACUCAAUACGACUGAAUAAAGAAAAUACAACACUAUAAACUCUGCAUAACUAACCCAAGCCCUUGAAUCAAAAGGACUCAUCACCUGCUGACUGGAUACCACGAACUGACUGGAUCUGAAGGUACAACUAUACCUUGUACCUACAUUCCAAGAAAAUGUAGCC